GGGGCAUCGAAGAUCCUGACUCGGUAAGUCUGUGAGGGGAUCUCCUUAGGAGAUUUUGUGAGAGCUUUUGUGAGGAUGAGUGCUUCUAGGUUGAGAGAGAGAAUUGGUAUAUGAGAGUUGAGAGUGUGUGUUCUUCUCUUGUAUUUUUUUCUUUCUCAUAAAUAAAGCUUGUAAGCCCUAUGGAGGUAAGUCUUGGGCUGAUCCGCAUAUUUGAUUGUGUCUCUUUUAUUUUUUCUUUUUUUCUGCUGCAACAAUUGGUACCAAAUCUCUCCGACAAUUGGUUCAGGCCAGAUGGUACC
rnacentral:lncRNA from 1 species